rnacentral:rRNA from 2 species
GGCGGCUUAGUUCGAGCGAAUGGAUUAAGAGCUUGCUCUUAUGAAGUUAGCGGCGGACGGGUGAGUAACACGUGGGUAACCUGCCCAUAAGACUGGGAUAACUCCGGGAAACCGGGGCUAAUACCGGAUAACAUUUUGAACCGCAUGGUUCGAAAUUGAAAGGCGGCUUCGGCUGUCACUUAUGGAUGGACCCGCGUCGCAUUAGCUAGUUGGUGAGGUAACGGCUCACCAAGGCAACGAUGCGUAGCCGACCUGAGAGGGUGAUCGGCCACACUGGGACUGAGACACGGCCCAGACUCCUACGGGAGGCAGCAGUAGGGAAUCUUCCGCAAUGGACGAAAGUCUGACGGAGCAACGCCGCGUGAGUGAUGAAGGCUUACGGGUCGUAAAACUCUGUUGUUAGGGAAGAACAAGUGCUAGUUGAAUAAGCUGGCACCUUGACGGUACCUAACCAGAAAGCCACGGCUAACUACGUGCCAGCAGCUUCGGUAAUACGUAGGUUCUUCGCAUUGCUUCAAAUUAAACAACAUGCGCCACCGUUUGUGCGGGUGGUUUCUUAAGUCUGAUGUGAAAGCCCACGGCUCAACCGUGGAGGGUCAUUGGAAACUGGGAGACUUGAGUGCAGAAGAGGAAAGUGGAUUCCAUGUUUAUCGGUGAAAUGCGUAGAGAUAUGGAGGAACACCAGUGGCCCUAGCCACUGUUUGCUCCCCACGCUUCCCUCGCCUCAUUGCAGUUACAACCAAAAAGCCACCUUCGCCAUGGUAGUUCACGCCGUAAACGAUGAGUGCUAAGUGUUAGAGGGUUUCCGCCCUUUAGUGCUGAAGUUAACGCAUUAAGCACUCCGCCUGGUAGUUCACGCCGUAAACGAUGAGUGCUAAGUGUUAGAGGGUUUCCGCCCUUUAGUGCUGAAGUUAACGCAUUAAGCACUCCGCCAAGAACCUUACCAGGUCUUGACAUCCUCUGACAACCCUAGAGAUAGGGCUUCUCCUUCGGGAGCAGAGUGACAGGUGGUGCAUGGUUGUUGUCAGCUCGUGUCGUGAGAUGUUGGGUUAAGUCCCGCAACGAGCGCAACCCUUGAUCUUAGUUGCCAUCAUUUAGUUGGGCACUUUAAGGUGACUGCCGGUGACAAACCGGAGGAAGGUGGGGAUGACGUCAAAUCAUCAUGCCCCUUAUGACCUGGGCUACACACGUGCUACAAUGGACGGUACAAAGAGCUGCAAGACCGCGAGGUGGAGCUAAUCUCAUAAAACCGUUCUCAGUUCGGAUUGUAGGCUGCAACUCGCCUACAUGAAGCUGGAAUCGCUAGUAAUCGCGGAUCAGCAUGCCGCGGUGAAUACGUUCCCGGGCCUUGUACACACCGCCCGUCACACCACGAGAGUUUGUAACACCCGAAGUCGGUGGGGUAACCUUUGGAGCCAGCC